GUCUCAGUAGCAUAGUGGUCAGUGCACAGCCCAGGAAGGAUUGAGACGUGGGUUCGAAUCCCGUCUGAGAUG
rnacentral:tRNA from 1 species